GAUGAACGCUGGCGGCGUGCUUAACACAUGCAAGUCGAACGAUGAAGCCCAGCUUGCUGGGUGGAUUAGUGGCGAACGGGUGAGUAACACGUGAGUAACCUGCCCUUAACUCUGGGAUAAGCCUGGGAAACUGGGUCUAAUACCGGAUAGGAGCGUCCACCGCAUGGUGGGUGUUGGAAAGAUUUAUCGGUUUUGGAUGGACUCGCGGCCUAUCAGCUUGUUGGUGAGGUAAUGGCUCACCAAGGCGACGACGGGUAGCCGGCAUGAGAGGGUGACCGGCCACACUGGGACUGAGAGACGGCCCAGAAUGCUACGGGAGGCAGCAGUGGGGAAUAUUGCACAAUGGGGGCAAGCCUGAUGCAGCGACGCCGCGUGAGGGAUGACGGCCUUCGGGUUGUAAACCUCUUUCAGUAGGGAAGAAGCGAAAGUGACGGUACCUGCAGAAGAAGCACCGGCUAACUACGUG
rnacentral:rRNA from 1 species